rnacentral:ncRNA from 1 species
AGGAACUCGGCAAAAUAGCCAUGUAACUUCGGGAGAAGAGUUGCCUCCUCACAAAGGGGGUCGCAGUGACCAGGCCCGGCCGACUGUUUACCAAAAACAUAGGUCUUUGCAAAGUCGUAAGACCAUGUAUGGGGGCUGACGCCUGCCCAGUGCCGGAAGGUUAAGGAAGUUGGUGACCUGAUGACAGGGGAGCCGGCGACCGAAGCCCCGGUGAACAGCAACCGUAACUAUAAUGGUCCUAAGGUAGCGAAAUUCCUUAUCGGGUAAGCUCCGACCCGCACGAAAGGCGUAACAAUUUGGGCAGGUCU